rnacentral:lncRNA from 1 species
CUAAACUCAAUUAUCAAAAUAUGAAAAUAUUAUAAUAUUAAACUAAAUCCAGGCCUAACUUUUAAAUAGUGUAGGGCUCUAACCCAACACACAACUUCUAAAUCCUGAUUACAGACCUAACUUUUGAAUACUAAACCCUAAACUGCUAUCACUAAACCCAAACCUCAACUUAUAUUUUUCAAAUACUAAACCCUAAAUCCUGAUUACUAAACUCUAAACCCAAAUAGAAUGGAACAAAAUACAUAGUAUAAUACAUAUUGGGAACAAAAUAGAACACUCUUUAUUAAUCGAGAAAUGGAACGAUAAUGAUAGGGUCACUAAACUCAAACCUCAACCCUACCUUCUAAAUACUAAACCCUAAAUCUUAAUCAUUAAACCUUAAACCCAAGUAUAAACCCUAAACCCAAAUAUAAUGGAACAAAAUACCAUAUUUCUCAAAUGUUGAUAUGGCUAUGCCUUCAUGGAAGGUGGUAAUGUUUGCUUCAAUGUCAAUCCCAAUCGUACAUACACUAAACCCAAUCAACUAAUCAUUAAACUCAAUCAACUAAUCACUAAUCAAUAAAUAGAAUAGUACAAACUGAUGAAAUUAUGAAAUGUUUAUGAUUGCAUGUAAGAAGUUAAUGCUGAUCUCAACCCCAACUACCAACUAUUAAAUACUAAACUCUAAACUCUAAAUCCUAAUUACUAAACCCAGGCCUAACUUUUAAAUAGUGUAGGGCUCUAACCCAACACACAACUUCUAAAUCCUGAUUACAGACCUAACUUUUGAAUACUAAACCCUAAACUGCUAUCACUAAACCCAAACCUCAACUUAUAUUUUUCAAAUACUAAACCCUAAAUCCUGAUUACUAAACUCUAAACCCAAAUAGAAUGGAACAAAAUACAUAGUAUAAUACAUAUUGGGAACAAAAUAGAACACUCUUUAUUAAUCGAGAAAUGGAACGAUAAUGAUAGGGUCACUAAACUCAAACCUCAACCCUACCUUCUAAAUACUAAACCCUAAAUCUUAAUCAUUAAACCUUAAAUCCAAGUAUAAACUCUAAACCCAAAUAGAAUGGAACAAAAAACCAUAUUUCUCAAAUGUUGAUAUGGCUAUGCCAUGGAAGGUGGUAAUGUUUGCUUCAAUGUCAAUUUCAAUCGUACAUAAACUAAACCCAAUCAACUAAUCAUUAAACCCAAUCAACUAAUCACUAAUCAAUAAAUAGAAUAGUACAAACUGAUGAAAUUAUGAAAUGUUUAUGAUUGCAUGUAAGAAGUUAAUGCUGAUCUCAACCCCAACUACCAACUAUUAAAUACUAAACUCUAAACUCUAAAUCCUAAUUACUAAACCCUAAACCUAAAUAAAUAGAUU